rnacentral:rRNA from 1 species
GCUCAACCCCGGGACUGCUUUGGAAACUGUAAAACUGGAGUACAGGAGAGGAAAGCGGAAUUCCUAGUGUAGCGGUGAAAUGCGUAGAUAUUAGGAAGAACACCAGUGGCGAAGGCGGCUUUCUGGACUGAAACUGACGCUGAGGCUCGAAAGCGUGGGGAGCGAACAGG